GAUUGUGUGUGUAUCUCUGUAGUUAAGUAUGUGUGUGUGUGUGUGUAUAUAUAUGUAUAUAUAUAUAUACACACACACACACACUUAACUACAGAGAUACACACA